GACGAAGGGGGCUAGCGUUGUUCGGAAUUACUGGGCGUAAAGGGUGCGUAGGCGGCGCGGUAAGUCGGGUGUGAAAUCUCGGGGCUUAACUCCGAAACUGCAUUCGAUACUGCCGUGCUUGAGGACUGGAGAGGAGACUGGAAUUUACGGUGUAGCGGUGAAAUGCGUAGAUAUCGUAAGGAAGACCAGUGGCGAAGGCGGGUCUCUGGACAGUUCCUGACGCUGAGGCACGAAGGCCAGGGGAGCAAACGGG
rnacentral:rRNA from 1 species